rnacentral:rRNA from 1 species
GACGAACGCUGGCGGCGUGCUUAACACAUGCAAGUCGAACGGAAAGGCCCUGCUUUUGUGGGGUGCUCGAGUGGCGAACGGGUGAGUAACACGUGAGUAACCUGCCCUUGACUGUGGGAUAACUUCAGGAAACUGGGGCUAAUACCGGAUAGGAGCUCCUGCUGCAUGGUGGGGGUUGGAAAGUUUCGGCGGUUGGGGAUGGAUUCGCGGCUUAUCAGCUUGUUGGUGGGGUAGUGGCUGACCAAGGGUUUGACGGGUAGCCGGCCUGAGAGGGUGAACGGCCUCAUUGGGCCUACGAUAGGGCGCAGACUCCUACGGGAGGCAGCAGUGGGGAAUAUUGCACAAUGGGCGGACGUCUGAUGCAGCAACGCCGCGUGCGGGAUGACGGCCUUCGGGUUGUAAACCGCUUUCGCAUGUGACGAAGCGUGAGUGACGGUAAUGGGUAAAGAAGCACCGGCUAACUACGUG